rnacentral:rRNA from 1 species
AACGAACGCUGGCGGCAGGCCUAACACAUGCAAGUCGAGCGAGGUGGCAAUACCUAGCGGCGGACGGGUGAGUAACGCGUGGGAACGUACCCUUUGCUACGGAAUAGCCCCGGGAAACUGGGAGUAAUACCGUAUGUGCCCUUCGGGGGAAAGAUUUAUCGGCAAAGGAUCGGCCCGCGUUGGAUUAGGUAGUUGGUGGGGUAAUGGCCUACCAAGCCGACGAUCCAUAGCUGGUUUGAGAGGAUGAUCAGCCACACUGGGACUGAGACACGGCCCAGACUCCUACGGGAGGCAGCAGUGGGGAAUCUUAGACAAUGGGCGCAAGCCUGAUCUAGCCAUGCCGCGUGAGUGAUGAAGGCCUUAGGGUUGUAAAGCUCUUUCAGAUGGGAAGAUAAUGACGGUACCAUCAGAAGAAGCCCCGGCUAACUCCGUG